GGACGUGCUACCGACAUCCGCGCACAGCGCAGCGCUCGCUAGGAUGUAUAUACUAGCUGUACCGGGCAGGAUUUCAAGUGAAAAAAGCAACAUUUCCAUGUUUCAUGUUGCCAUCAAUUCUACUUAAAGAAUGCAUGAUACAACAAGCAGUAGUUUGCUGUAAUAAAUCAUAUGACUACAAACAACACCAAACACAAUCAAACACUAGCUAAACUUUCUAGACACCAGAGAAAAAAACCAUCUAACAAAGACGAUUGGCACAAAAUAACUUCUCUACCAGACAGAAUACCCAUCUAACAGAACAUGUGCACAGUUAAACACAUACAAUUGUACAAAAGUUACUGAGAACUUGUAGUUACAAAAUUUCUGUUCAAUAAACACUUGACUGAAAUAAAAUUGCAUAAACAUACUACUUUUGGUGUUAAUGUCAAAGUUAUUGGGUUAAAAUGUUUAAAUUACUUAAGGUUGAUUAAAGACUUGAUGCCACAUAGAUCAAUGAUUUGAUGCCACUUACUAUUUAGACCAAUGACUUGAUGCCACCUACAAUAUAGAUCAAUGAGUUGUUGCCACCUACUAUAUAGAUCAAUGACUUGAUGCCACUAAACAUAUAGAUCAAUGACUUGAUGCCACUUACUACAUAGAUCAAUGACUAGAUGUCAACUAAUAUAUAGAUUUUAACUGAAUUUAACCAAUGCAAAUGUGUUAAGCAUGAGAUAUGAAGUGGCUUUUGCAGCAGUACAGCAUAAGUUAAGGUACUCUAAUUGACACAUUCACUUGCUCACCUCUUAAAAAUAGUUCAAACAUUUGUUAAAUAAAUGUUAAGCUAAAUUAGCUUUAGAAAAAAAAAAGAUCGAAGUAAUUUUGCUGAAGAAUUAACAACAAAAUCAAUGUAUAAAUAUAGCCUUUAAGAAAAUAUUUCUGAUCUUUGUCUUUUAAGGUUUCUUUUUAUAUUAAACUCUGCUGUGAUUAAGUUAGCCCUAUCAA